rnacentral:rRNA from 1 species
CGGAACGUGCCCAAUCGUGGGGGAUAGCUCGGCGAAAGCCGGAUUAAUACCGCAUACGAUCUACGGAUGAAAACAGGGGACUCGCAAGAGCCUUGCGCGAAUGGAGCGGCCGAUGGCAGAUUAGGUAGUUGGUGGGGUAAAGGCUCACCAAGCCGACGAUCUGUAGCUGGUCUGAGAGGACGACCAGCCACACUGGGACUGAGACACGGCCCAGACUCCUACGGGAGGCAGCAGUGGGGAAUUUUGGACAAUGGGCGCAAGCCUGAUCCAGCAAUGCCGCGUGCAGGAUGAAGGCCUUCGGGUUGUAAACUGCUUUUGUACGGAACGAAAAGGCUCUGGUUAAUACCUGGGGCUCAUGACGGUACCGUAAGAAUAAGCACCGGCUAACUACGUGCCAGCAGCCGCGGUAAUACGUAGGGUGCGAGCGUUAAUCGGAAUUACUGGGCGUAAAGCGUGCGCAGGCGGUGAUGUAAGACAGUUGUGAAAUCCCCGGGCUCAACCUGGGAACUGCAUCUGUGACUGCAUCGCUGGAGUGCGGCAGAGGGGGAUGGAAUUCCGCGU